CGACUGCUAAUACCGCAUACGAUCUAAUCUCGGCAUCGAGGAAAGAUGAAAGGUGGCCUCUAUUUAUAAGCUAUCACUGAAGGAGGGGAUUGCGUCUGAUUAGCUAGUUGGAGGGGUAACGGCCCACCAAGGCGAUGAUCAGUAGCCGGUCUGAGAGGAUGAACGGCCACAUUGGGACUGAGACACGGCCCAGACUCCUACGGGAGGCAGCAUG
rnacentral:rRNA from 1 species